GUACUGCUGUGGACCAGUAUGGUUACAAGAAAGUCCCUUUCUCCUGCUUGACAGAAGCAACUAAUGCAAAGGGUUACUACUUCAAAACAUUGCCUGCUUUAAAGCUCACAGAAUGCAAGGCUUACCUUGAAAGCUCUCCAUUGAAAACCUGCAACGUUCCUACAGAUAUGAACUAUGGGAUCACCGGUGCUCCCCUUUCAGCUUAUCACGUUCUCCAUGACAAGAAAAUAAAACUGUACUCCAUGAGGACUUUCUUCUACACCUCGACGAAACCUACAUCAACCCCUGCUGGUUAUUAAAUUGUCUUCUCUCCAUGACUACAAUUCAUCUAUUUUUUACUUUGUUUAAAGCUGUUGUAACGGAUUGAUUUCCUUCUUGCUGUUUAUAUUUAUGGGCUUUUGCCUUGAUGAUCAGUUUCAUUAUGGGGAGAGUUUUGUGAUAAAAAUUCUUCAAUUAAGAUUUUUAUUUUCUUUUCUUUUUGGGAGAUUAAUGAUGUAUCAGUGUCACCAAAUAUUAAUGAACCACAAGGUCAUUGAUUUGUUUCCUUAAAAAUAAAUAACUUAAAGACUAGUCUUUUUUGUAAUUUGUCCUCCGGUUAAUUUUAUCAUGUUUCCAUUUCAAUGUGUGCGUUUAGAAAUACUAAGUUACUCGGCAUUUGCUUAGUAAAUUUAUUAUUUAAUUAAUUUAUAGUAUUUAAUUUCUAUUUUUUGAUAAGUUGUUUAGAAUUAUUUACAAAUGAAUAAAUUUAAAUGUUUAAUGAAUAUAAAUGUACUUGAUUUCAAAUUAUUAUAUAUUAAUUUUGAUAUAAUUUAAGGGUUUUUGUAUUUUAAGACUUUAUAUUAUAGAAUGUAUAUAUAUAAGAAAUAUUAUAGGACUACUCUAGUGUUGUAAUCUCUACCUUUACUAUUGUGUAUUGCAUUAUACAUAUAAAUAAAAAAGAUUGAUUAACUAAUAAGUUAAGCCUCUUAUUUCUUCUCAACUUUGUAUUAAAGCCCUUAAGCGUCCUACCUGAGACAUACUAUAUUACUGAUUUUGUUUUAAAUUGCUAAAAGUUUAUUUUUGUUUUAUUCUUAUAGUCUUUCUAUAAUAUUCUUGACUUUGGUGUCAAUAAAUAUUCUCUUAUGAAUAUUUCUAACUCUAGUAUUGGUAAAUAUUGCGCAACGCUAAAGGUAUAAUUUUCGUGACUCUAACAGUAGUGAAUAAAUUUGCAAAUUUUGGAUUAAAAUAAAAGGAAACUAUUUUUUAUUUUCAUUUUCUUUAGAAAAAAAACAUGUAUUGCAUAUCAGAUACAUAUUUCGCAAUAAAAGUCCAUAAAUCAUAUAUACAACAAAACCAACAAAACCACACAGAAAAAAAAAGGUGUGAGUGACCCAUAAGUAAAUCAAUGAAAACCUCCAUAUUUUUUUUUAUAUCCAAAAAGGAUUCAUUUAGUUAAAUAUCAAAACAAAAAUGUGUGAAAUAAAAAGAGAAUACGUAAAGGUAUAUUUUACCAAACACACCCUUAAUCCAAAACAAUUUACGCUGGCUAGGUCUAAGUCUCAGACCCAGACCCAAACCCAGCCAAAUCUCAAUUUAUUGGGGAAAAAAUUCAAAAUUUUGGUGAUAACCGAAAUCAAAGGUAAAUAUAAGGUGUUUUUAAUAUCCAUCUCAUGAGCAAUCUUAAUGAGUAAAUGAUAGGUUGCAACAGUUAUCACUUUCACCUUUGAACCAGUCCCCAUACAGACGAGUCCUUCACUGUCCUUCCAUUCUGGCUUGUAAGGAAUCCCUACAUUGUGUUGUUCAUGUGAGCAAUAACACUAUAAUCAACCAACCAGGUAUUAAAAGGAACUUAAGCAAGAUUUGAUUCAUAACAAACAAAAGAAAAUUUAUUACAUUUCUUUUCAAACCAAGCUUUAUGUUAAUUUGUUGGAGUCCAUCUUUACAUGUCCUUUCUUAUUAUAAAAAUUAAUAAAAUUUGAUAGUAAAAUUAUCUUUCUAUUUUUUAUUAACUUUUCUGGAUGCAUUUUGUUUCUUUAAUGGAGUUUAUUUUCCAUUCCCUUCCUCCUUGCUUACUUUGAGUUACCAGUAAUGCUGUAUGUUUCUUUCAUGUUUUAAACAUACUUGCUCUUAAAGACACAUGUUUAUCUAUUUACUUAUGCUUCAUUGAUCCUUAAUUAUUGGUGUUAUAAUUAAUUUUGAGUGGAUCAAGCCGAGAAGGAAGUGAAUUCAGAAUGAAUUGAACAGAAAACUAUCAUUUACAUGCAUUCUUAAAGCAUUUAGCUAUGCAACUUUAUCUGCCUUAUCGAGAAUAUGAUGAUGAACUCCUCUAGUACCAUCAUACUUCAUGGUAGUUAAUUCUUCUAUAAAAGUGCUUGCUAGUGACUUCUCAACUGAUCCUUCAGUAGUACUGAAUUCAUAAAUUCCUCAGCAUUUCUCAUCUAUAAUUGAGAGGUUGUGAUGUUGUUCGCCGGAAUUAUCCUCAUUAACGUCAAACUAAGCAUGUUUGACCUCUCUCCGGCUUUCAUUUCAAAGACUUGUUCAUCAGUUAUGUCAUCGGUAAUAGCUAGCUUGGGUUUUAUUCGUCAAAAGCGAAAAGUCCAAAUCCAAAGUGUUAAUCAGACUUGCCCGUACCAUUAAGAGAAUUUUGUCCCAUUGAAACCAAAAUACUUGAAGUAUAUGAUUGCAACACAGUGAGGAUUAAGACUAAAACUUUAAAAAACAUUCUGACAAUGAAGCUUAAGUCUAUAAUAUAGGAUUUUAUAACUCUAAAUUAAUAGACUAUUCAUGUCACCUUGGUUCACCUCUGGGCAAAAACCUCAGCGCAUCCGUUGUCCGCUCUAUAUAAAGCAAUAAGCAUAUCGUAAGCUGUCAUGUCUAUUCAAAUAUUGAAUUGUAUUUUAUCCAGAAACAGUUAAUUACAAGUAUACAAAUUUCAAGACAUAUAGCAAAGGCACGUCCUGAAUAAAAAUGCCGAAUAUAAUAAUGUCCAAGUCCACGCCAUCAUGCCGUACUGCAAUGUGUCCUUGGUGCAUGUAGCAGUAUUGCUCAUCACGUUGCUCUCCCCUCCCCUCCAACUGUGCAUACAAUUAGUCUCCCUUUCCUUCCUAUAUUUUAUUUCUCAGAUUAGUAACCCAAUCGGGCAAUCGGUCCUAUAAAAGGCCACGAUGAUGGUAGCGUUCCAUAUCAACAAUCUAAAGUUCUAUCCCUGUCCUCUUUGCAAUGCCUCUAACCCAUUCCUCCUCCGCCACCGUAUUCCUUCUCUUGUCAUUGUCAGUAAUUGCCUCAGCUGGCGGUUACGGCUAUGACCAAAAGCCAGAUACAACCAAGCCAGAUCAUACUUGCAACUCAAAAUCAAAGCCAGACACUUCCAAACCCAAGUAUAGUUAUGACCCCAAACCACGGCCACACGUUGUCAAACCAGAUCUCCACAAACCAUAUUACGACUCCAAUCCGAAGCCAGCCCUCCCCAAACCAAAGUUCACAGAACCAAAACCAGACAAAGGGUAUGACUCAAAACCAUACCUUGGCCGACCAACCAUCCCCAAACCAGACACUGCCAAGAAACCAGACACUGCAAGCCAAAUUAUGGUUACAACCCAAAACCAGAAGUUCCCAAACCGAAAUUGACAAUGCCGAAACCCAACUAUGGUAAUGACCCAAAACCAAAGUUGAUCGUACCCAAACCAGACACUGCCAAGCCAAAUUAUGGUUACAACCCAAAACCAGAAGUUCCCAAACCAAAGAUGACUGUACCAAAACCCGAUCAUGGUUAUGACCCUAAAGGGAAGGUUUACGAACAACCAAAGUCAACUGCACCAAAGCCAGAGAUUAUCACGCGGGAACCAAAGUUAUACAUACCAAAACCAAGUAAUGACAAACUGGACUAUGAGUAUAGCCCAAUCGGCAUCGAAGGUUUUGUCCUCUGCAAACAAGGCUCUAACUAUACCCCUAUUGAAGGUAAUUUCUACACCCUCUUUAAUUAUUCUUCCUCGGAUUCAAUGUAAUACUUUGUUUCGCAUGUAUUAUUAUUCUUACAGACGCUGCUAGCUGAUCAAUGAUAUUCUUUUGUUAAGUUUUCCUCACAGAAACUAUUUUUUUUGCGUGUAGGAGCUGUGAUAAGAAUAGCCUGUACUGCUGUGGACCAGUAUGGUUACAAGAAAGUCCCUUUCUCCUGCUUGACAGAAGCAACUAAUGCAAAGGGUUACUACUUCAAAACAUUGCCUGCUUUCAAGCUCACAGAAUGCAAGGCUUACCUUGAAAGCUCUCCAUUGAAAACCUGCAACGUUCCUACAGAUAUGAACUAUGGGAUCACCGGUGCUCCCCUUUCAGCUUAUCACCUUCUCCAUGACAAGAAAAUAAAACUGUACUCCAUGAGGACUUUCUUCUACACCUCGACGAAACCUACAUCAACCCCUGCUGGUUAUUAAAUUGCCUUCUCUCCAU
rnacentral:lncRNA from 1 species